rnacentral:rRNA from 1 species
AACACAUCCAAGCCGAGACGGUAGAGAUUCUUCAGGAAGUCUUGAGAGCGGCGCACGGGUGCGGAAGCACUGUGUGCUAACCUGCCUUUCUCAUGGUGGGAUAGCCUUAUUCUGAAAGCGGAGCAUUAAUACCCCUAUAAUUAUACUGAGCUGGCUAUCCACAUUAUUAUUGAAAACUCCGAGUGGAUAGAGAUGGGCGACUGCUGCCAACAUUCAGAUAGCUUGGUGACGGUAACGGCUCACCAAAGUCAAUGAUCUUUAGUGGGGCCUGACAGGGUGAUCCCCCAACACUUGGUACUGAGACACUGGACCAAACUCAUACGGGAGGCAGCAGUGAGGAAUAUUGGACAAUGGGUGAGAGCCUGAUCCAGCCAUCCCGCGUGAAGGACGACGGCCCUAUGGGUUGUAA